rnacentral:rRNA from 1 species
AUACGAGGGGUGCAAGCGUUGUUCGGAAUUACUGGGCGUAAAGGGAGCGUAGGCGGAGAUUCAAGCGGAUUGUACAAUCCCGGGGCCCAACCCCGGCUCUGCAGUCCGAACUGGAUCUCUUGGAUAGUUCAGGGGCAGGCGGAAUUCCUGGUGUAGCGGGGGAAUGCGUAGAGAUCAGGAAGAAAACCGAUGGCGAAGGCAGCCUGCUGGGGACUUAUCGACGCUGAGGCUCGAAAGUGCGGGUAGCAAACAGGAUUAGAUACCCUGGUAGUCCGCACCGUAAACGAUGCAUACUGGGUGUCCGGGGGUUCCCCCGGGUACCGUAGCCAACGCGUUAAGUAUGCCGCCUGGGGAGUACGUACGCAAGUAUGAAACUCAAAGGAAUUGGCGGGG